AAAGUUUUUUCCAAUAGUUUGUUGCGUCAAAGAAAUAUUAUGCAAUACAGUUCUCAAUAAAAACAAAAAACAAAACUUAAAAAAGUAGCUUAUUUUUCUUGAAUCGAAAUUAUUAAUCGUCUGUAUAACAUACAAAAAACGACGUACCCAUCAUCUUGAUCCUCUUUGUGGCUUAAAUCAGUAUUCAAUGUUAUUGCAGCUGCAUCUGCCGCGGGCGAUAUGCGGCCACGGUCCACUUUCAUCACUGGUUUCGAGAUGAAACUAAUAUAAAAUAACAUAUUAUUUACUAUAUCAUAGGCGUAUGACAAUAACACAAAGGAUGACCGGAAAAACUAACGACUCUCCGUCCGACUCGUAUAAUUAUUGAUAAACAUGAAUAUUAUUUUCAGAAAAAUAUAUAUAACUUUUGGAAUAAUGUCGUUAGGUUUUUAGGCCACCAACUUUGCGCGAAAUGGAUUUUAAUUAUUCGUUAAUGAUUUUUUUCCAAAUUAUU